AUCAAGCGCUGGCGGCGUGCCUAACACAUGCAAGUCGACACGCGAAAAACCCCGCAAGGGCGUUAGUAGAGUGGCAAACGGUGAGUAACGCGUGGGGUGAACCCUGCCUUCGAGCGGGGGGAUAACGUUCCGAAAGGGACGCAUAAUACCGCAUAACAUCGCAAGAUCAAACGGAGCAAUCCGCUUGAAGGGGGGGUGGGUCGCGGCUGAUUAGCUAGUUGGUAGGGUAAUGGACCUACCAAGGCGAUGAUCGGUAGCCGGCCUGAGAGGGGCGCACGGCCACACUGGAACUGAAACACCGGUCCAGACUCCUACGGGAGGCAGCAAUUGUGGGAAUUUUGCGCAAUGGGGGAAACCCUGACGCAGCAACGCCGCGUGGAGGAUGAAGUCCCUUGGACGUAAAACUCCUUUCGACCGGGACGAUUAGAUUAUGACGGUACCGGUGGAAGAAGCCCCAGGCUAACUUCGUGCCAGCAGCCGCGGUAAUACGAGGGGGGGCAGCGUUGUUCGGAAUUAUUGGCGUAAAGGGGCGCGUAGGCGGGUGCGGGUAAGUCACCUGUGAAAACUCUGGGGCUCAACUCAGAGCCUGCAGGCGAAGAACUUGCCGUGCUGGAGUGUGGGAGAGGUGCGUGGAAUUCCCGGUGUAAGCGGGUGAAUAAUGCGUAGAUAUCGGGAGGAAGCAACCUGUGGCGAAAGCGGCGCACUGGACCACAACUAUGACGCUUGAGGCGCCGAAAGCUAGGGGAGCAAACAGGAUUAGAUACCCUGGUAGUCCCUAGCCCUAACCCAUUGGGAUGCUUGGUGUGUCGGGUACCAAUCCCGUCGUUGCCGCAGCUAACGCGUUAAGCAUCCCGCCUGGGGAGUACGGGUCGCAAGGCAUGAAACUCAAAGGAAUUGACGGGGGCCCACCCAAGAGCGGUGGAGCAUGUGGUUCAAUUCGACGCAACGCGAAGAACCUUACCUGGGCUCGAAGCGCAGUGGACCGGGGUAGGGAAACAUCCCCUUUCCGCAAGGACUGCUGCGGAGGUGCUGCAUGGCUGUCGUCAGCUCGUGUCGUGAGAUGUUGGUUAAGUCCCCGCAACGAGCGCAACCCUUAUCGUUCUAAGUUGCCAUCAGGUCAAGCUGUGCAGCCUCUAGCGAAACCGCCUCAGAUAACGGGGAGGAAGGUGGGGAUGACGUCAAGUCCUCAUGGCCUUUAUGUCCAGGGCUACACACGUUGCAUACAAUGUGUCGGUACAAACCAGUCGCAAACCCGCGAGGGGGAGCUAAUCGGAAAAAGCCGGCCUCAGUUCGGAUUGAAGUCUGCAACUCGACUUCAUGAAGCUGGAAUCGCUAGUAAUCGCAGAUCAGAACGCUGCGGUGAAUACGUUCCCGGGCCUUGUACACACCGCCGUCACAUCACGAAAGUGGGUGAUACUAGAAGCCGUUUCGCCCAACCCGCAAGGGGGGCUGACGUCCAAGGUAUGACUCAUGAUUGGGGUG
rnacentral:rRNA from 1 species